UACAGAGGUCCCAAGCGUUGUUCGGAUUCACUGGGCGUAAAGGGUGCGUAGGUGGUGAGGUAAGUCGGAUGUGAAAGCUCGGAGCUCAACUCCGAAAUGGCAUUGGAAACUACCUUGCUCGAGGGUUGGAGGGGGGACUGGAAUACUUGGUGUAGCAGUGAAAUGCGUAGAUAUCAAGUGGAACACCAGUGGCGAAGGCGGCUUCCUGGUCUGUAACUGACACUGAGGCGCGAAAGCGUGGGGAGCAAACAGG
rnacentral:rRNA from 1 species